GUUUCGACAUGUGUGCAUUCCAGAGAUGUAUAGAAAUUUUUGUUACUUAUAAAUUUUUGGGAAAGAAGUCAGGUACUCAAUGCCAGCUUUAGAUAAUAGGGACAUGUAAUUACUUCUAAAUUCCUCAGAGAAGGAGUUUUGCCUCUGGAUGGUCUGCUUAAUGGCCACCACCAGGUGGUCUUUGCUCUCCUCAUUUUCCCCUAAUAAAUAUCUUGGUCAAAUCUUUGACCCUUUGUAUACCCUCAUGCUCCUGUCUACCUGCUGCCUAUUAGGGUCUCCAGAAAGGGAAAACAGCACGGUGAAGGGGAGCAUCAAAUCUGUCUGGCUACUUCUGCAUGAAGGAAAUGAAGGGUCAUGAAAAACUUGUCCAUGGGCCAGGGUGGAAGGAAUGGUGGGGGACCAGAUUCCAUCAAGAGGCCCCAUGUAAAUGGAAGUUGCUGUUGCAGGCUGGUAUUGGGCUUGCAAGGUCAUCUAUAGGUGAAAUCAUUAUAAUCUAGAAGAUAUAAACUUAAUGAGAGUGGUAAAAAGGCAGGGACCAAAUAGUAAAAGAAGAAUGAUGAGGAAUAAAGGUCCAAGGAAUGGGAGAAGCCAAGUGAUUUUUGGAAACCAACCAGUAAAGGUUUUGGCCCAGUUUUGAUUACUUUGAGAAAGUAUAUGCUAGCUCACUUUGGCUAUCACUUAUUUUUGCAUUUCAUGUCCAAUAUAAUCUCACGGGAAAACAUCCACCCAGUCCAGUCUCCGUGAUCCUUUGAUGUCUUCUGACAGAGCAAGUGAUGGCUCUCUAGUGAGUGACUUUGAUAAAAGCCUGUCUAGUCAAACCCCAGAAGAAACUGAACAUUGGUGGAUGAUGGAUUUGGGUUCCAAAUGGACUAUGAAUGUUGUGUCAGUCACCAACUGAAGAGAAUGUAUUCAUGGACAAAUAAAGACACUUGCGAUUUUAAUUGGGUACUCACUUGCUCAGAGUGGCAAGACAAAUUCCAGGUAAGGGUUGAAAUUUUAAGUGUUAAAAAUAUCAAGUUAACAACUCAUUAAGCUUUCAUAUCAUUUUAUGCCCAUUCAGCAGUAGUUCUUAUUUCCACUUAUAGUUUGAAGAAUUAACUGCAGACAGCGUUCUUAACAUUUGUAUAAUCUAGCUAUAUGGAAAUACACUAUUCUCAAGUGAAUAUUUAAUAUAUUCAUCAAGUUGGUCUUUCAGCUUGCUAAAAUGAAACUCAUUUCUUGCAGGUAAAAUGGGCAUUUAAUAACAUUUACCAGUAAUUUGCUUACAACAAUUAAUUCAGUCAAAAUCACCCAAGCAGUUGAUACAUAUUAUUAUAUACUACAUCUUUUUCUAGAAUUAAAAAAUUAAUGUGUAGUGCCAGCCCUAGAUGUAAGUUACAUAUAUCAACUCUAUCCAAUUUUGUCAGCCAUAAAACUUACCUUUUUCACAUACUUCUAACUCUAACAAUGUGAGAAAUGUAGAUCAUUGCAAUUAUACCCACAAGGCAGAUGGCUACAUGCAGAAUGGAUAGCAGAAUCUAGCUACUUACGCUAGCCACAUGGUAGACGUUUUUUCCUUUGUUUUUGCAAAAUUGCAAUAUAAGUUGCAUAUCGUUAGAGUGAAAGAUGUAAAGAACCCAUAGAAGCAGUGAUGAAGGACAUUUAUAUUUUCAACUUACAAAAGACCUUAAAAUUGCCUAUGUGGAGCAGAACUGAGGAGGGCAAACAUCGUAAAAAUUUUGUUCUAUUUGAUUUGGCACAUAUACUCACAGUACUUUGUUAACUUCUUAAAAAUAUCUAUUUGGAAAAACAGUUUAUAAAUAUGAGAAUAAUGUAAUGAUUACCCAGAAGCCUACAAAAUUUCCUUUUUAUUGUUAUCUGUAAACUGUUUGCAAGGUAUUUUAAUUUCCUGUUGGUCAUUAAUUAUUGCUACAACUGCAUAGUUAAUGUAGUUAAUAUUUCAAUAUUAUCUCUAAUGUUGUCUCACAGGAAACAUAUAACUCAGUCUAUCACCUUCAAUCAAUCCAGAUCACUUGAGAAAGCCAUUGUAUUAGAAAAAAUUACAUAUAUUCAAAAACCAAUGAGAGGCAGAUCCCUGGUAUAUGGUGGAUUUGGGCUUUUCAGAAAAAUUUGCUUCAGUCACCAACCAAAGAAAUUGUUGCCACGAAUAAACAAAUGAAGCUAUAAUUCUAGUUGGAGAUUUAUUUGAAAAUGGUACCACAUUAAAUCCCAGGUACGAAUCCAAGUUUUGAGUUCUAGAAGGAUCAUGGCAUGCUUAUCCUUUUUGUUUUCACCAACCCUGAGAGGUAGUCUACAUUCCAAGAUUAGAACAUAAUGAAGUUAGAAGGGCUGCAUUCUAUGAGGCAGGGAGAAUUAGACAUGGAAUUACAGAGCUUUUCAUUGCAAUUUCCAUGACUGUUAUUUAUGUGAACUUACACAAAUCUAAGGAUCACUCUGAGCCACAGUUUCUUUAUCCUAUUCUGAAAUCUCUUUAAAGGACUUGAGUCCAAGCUCUCUCCCACACUGCAAGACCCCACUGCAAUGGCUCCUAUAGCUGCUGCCAUGGCCUCCUCCAAUCAAGUCAGCCUUACUAUCUUAAAAAAAGUAAAUAAGGGCAGCUAAACGCCAUGGCAAAUGUAUACCUAUGUAACAAACCUGCACGUUCUGCACAUGUAUCCCAGAACUUAAAGUAAAAUUUAAAAAAAAGAAAAAAUAAAUAAAUAAUAACAUCUCUUU
rnacentral:lncRNA from 10 species